rnacentral:rRNA from 1 species
UACGUAGGGUGCAAGCGUUAAUCGGAAUUACUGGGCGUAAAGCGUGCGCAGGCGGUUCGCUAAGACAGAUGUGAAAUCCCCGGGCUUAACCUGGGAACUGCAUUUGUGACUGGCGGGCUAGAGUAUGGCAGAGGGGGUAGGAAUUCCACGUGUAGCAGUGAAAUGCGUAGAGAUGUGGAGGAAUACCGAUGGCGAAGGCAGCCCCCUGGCCAAUACUGACGCUCAUGCACGAAAGCGUGGGGAGCAAACAGG